GUGAGUAUAUUGUGUGGUCUAUUAACUGUCAGUGUUAUUGUUCAUAUCUACUACUUUAUAAGAAAGAAAAGUUCAUGCAUCAAUAAGCAAGCAAAAGCUGAUGAUGAUAUUUCAAUGCAAGCAUGUGGACCAUAUGCAAUUCACAAGACUAAACAAAGUGAAGAGAAUGAAGGAGUUUAUGAUGAAUGCCAAACAUCACCUGAUGAUGUUUAUGAGCAUAUAUCACA